rnacentral:rRNA from 1 species
UGAGUGGCGGACGGGUGAGUAACGCGUGGGCAACCUGGCCUGUACAGGGGGAUAACACUUAGAAAUAGGUGCUAAUACCGCAUAACGGGGGAAGCCGCAUGACUUUUCCCUGAAAACUCCGGUGGUACAGGAUGGGCCCGCGUCUGAUUAGCCAGUUGGCAGGGUAACGGCCUACCAAAGCGACGAUCAGUAGCCGGCCUGAGAGGGCGGACGGCCACACUGGGACUGAGACACGGCCCAGACUCCUACGGAAGGCAGCAG